rnacentral:rRNA from 1 species
GAUGAACGCUAGCUAUAGGCUUAACACAUGCAAGUCGAGGGACCGGCGCACGGGUGAGUAACGCGUAUCCAACCUGCCCAUAACUAAGGGAUAACCCAGCGAAAGUUGGACUAAUACCUUAUGGUUAUGGAUGGGGAUGCGUCUGAUUAGCUUGUUGGCGGGGUAACGGCCACCCAAGGCAACGAUCAGUAGGGGUUAUGAGAGGAAGGUCCCCCACAUCGGAACCGAGACCCGGUCCCAACUCCUACGGGAGGCAGCAGUGAUGAAUAUUGUUCACUGGACUCAAGUCUGACCCAGCCAAGUAGCGUGCAGGAUGACUGCCUAUGGGUUGUAUACUGCUUUUAUAUGGCGAUCGGUACCAUAUGAAUAAGGACCGGCUAAUUCCGUGCCAGCCGCCGCGGUAAUUC